GAUGAACGCUGACAGAAUGCUUAACACAUGCAAGUCGACUGGAAUUCUUCUUCGGGAGAUAGUACGGUGGCGGACGGGUGAGUAACGCGUAAAGAAUUUGCCCUUCAGACUGGGACAACUAACCGAAAGGUUAGCUAAUACCGGAUAUUAUGAAACCUUGGCAUCAAGGGUUUAUGAAAGCUAUAUGCGCUGAAGGAGAACUUUGCGUCCCAUUAGGUAGUUGGUAGGGUAAUGGCCUACCAAGCCGACGAUGGGUAGCCGGCCUGAGAGGGUGAACGGCCACAAGGGGACGUGAGACACGGCCCAGACUCCUACGGGAGGCAGCAGUGGGGGAAGUUUUGGUACGAAUAGGGCGGCAAGCCUGAUCCAGCCAUGCCGCGUGCGGGAA
rnacentral:rRNA from 1 species